GCACGAUCGAGGCGCAGCAGCCAGAAACACUGCAAAGCCACAGAACACCUGAGAUGUCACAAUUUCCUGAGACGGAGGCAUCUCUGCGGCACAUAGGAGCCUGCGGCACUAAUGCAGCCUGAACAGCACGACAAAGCAUCUGAUCUGCUUGCUUUGACAAGGUAUGGCUGGGCCUGCAGAAAAAGUGUAAGCGGACUGCUGUGUUGCUCAUCAGUGCUGAUCUCCACAUCCAAGUUGGUCC